UCAACAGAAUUUAAUCUAGUUUAUUCUCAAAAAAAAAAGGGGGGGGGGAGGAAAAAUAUGAAAACAAAACAAAAACGAAAAAAAAGCAGGUCUUAUCACUAGCAGUAAAUAAAUUUGUACAACCAUUCAGUCUGUAUAAUAGGAUGAAAUAAAUCUACAUCUUUCUUAUUUUGGUGCGUUGAAUUAUACAUACAAACAACAAUUACAGGAACUUGUUCACAAUGCGUAUAGACCUGGAGAAUGGCUAUCUGAAAACCCCUUGUUGGCAAUGUCCGCAUGGUAACACUGAUUGCCUGACACCAUUGGUACUUUCUAUGUAAAAGGGCCUGUGGCCCGAAAUGAAUGAUCUCCCUACAGGUUUUUAUUGAUUUUCGCUAUUUAUUUCAUUAGUCAGUUAGUUAAUGCAUCAUCCAAAAACCUUUCUAGCCAGCCCCCUCCCCCUUCCCCGGAAACCAAAUAAAAAGAAACCAAAACAAAACCAACAAAUAAAAUCAAAUCAAAGGAGAAGACACGACUGGCAGUUGGUCCAUUUGUUCGUAAGACCGCGUUUCCUCUUGGUCAGCAUUGUUUGUUUAUCUGGUUUUUAAAUUGUCCUCCAUUCCUCUUUAUUUUUUGUCUCUUUUCCUUUAAAAAAAAAUCAAAAGAAAAAUCUCUCGGAGUCCUUCAUGCCUUUUUUUUUUCUUUACAGCUCUCCAGAUGCAAUAAAGUCUUCCUCAAAUGUACAGUAUUUCUUACAAUAUAAGUUAUAUGCAAUGUUCAGCGCUUUUUAUUUUAUUUUAUUUCAUUUUAUUCUUUUUUUUUUCACAGCACUAGAGAUCCUGUCCAAUAGGGAAUGCAAGUUCUGAAUGGCUUAUUCACAAAUGGUAUCCAGAUUCAGUGGGUAAGAAUACAUAGACGCCAUAGUGAGUUCCUUUAAAAAGUGGCAAACAUCACUUUUUUAAAACUUUUUUUUCUACUUUUUUGUCUUUUUUUUUUCUUUUUUUUUUUUCCUUUUUGUGUUUUUUGUAGUUUUUUUCUGGGUUUUUUAAUUUUUUUUCUCUCUUAUGCCUUCAA
rnacentral:lncRNA from 1 species